GAUGAACGCUGGCGGCGUGCCUAAUACAUGCAAGUCGAGCGAACGGACGAGAAGCUUGCUUCUCUGAUGUUAGCGGCGGACGGGUGAGUAACACGUGGAUAACCUACCUAUAAGACUGGGAUAACUUCAGGAAACCGUAGCUAAUACCGGAUAAUAUUUUGAACCGCAUGGCUCAAAAGUGAAAGACGGUCUUGCUGUCACUUAUAGAUGGAUCCGCGCUGCAUUAGCUAGUUGGUAAGGUAACGGCUUACCAAGGCAACGAUGCAUAGCCGACCUGAGAGGGUGAUCGGCCACACUGGAACUGAGACACGGUCCAGACUCCUACGGGAGGCAGCAGUAGGGAAUCUUCCGCAAUGGGCGAAAGCCUGACGGAGCAACGCCGCGUGAGUGAUGAAGGUCUUCGGAUCGUAAAACUCUGUUAUUAGGGAAGAACAUAUGUGUAAGUAACUGUGCACAUCUUGACGGUACCUAAUCAGAAAGCCACGGCUAACUACGUGCCAGCAGCCGCGGUAAUACGUAGGUGGCAAGCGUUAUCCGGAAUUAUUGGGCGUAAAGCGCGCGUAGGCGGUUUUUUAAGUCUGAUGUGAAAGCCCACGGCUCAACCGUGGAGGGUCAUUGGAAACUGGAAAACUUGAGUGCAGAAGAGGAAAGUGGAAUUCCAUGUGUAGCGGUGAAAUGCGCAGAGAUAUGGAGGAACACCAGUGGCGAAGGCGACUUUCUGGUCUGUAACUGACGCUGAUGUGCGAAAGCGUGGGGAUCAAACAGGAUUAGAUACCCUGGUAGUCCACGCCGUAAACGAUGAGUGCUAAGUGUUAGGGGGUUUCCGCCCCUUAGUGCUGCAGCUAACGCAUUAAGCACUCCGCCUGGGGAGUACGACCGCAAGGUUGAAACUCAAAGGAAUUGACGGGGACCCGCACAAGCGGUGGAGCAUGUGGUUUAAUUCGAAGCAACGCGAAGAACCUUACCAAAUCUUGACAUCCUUUGACAACUCUAGAGAUAGAGCCUUCCCCUUCGGGGGACAAAGUGACAGGUGGUGCAUGGUUGUCGUCAGCUCGUGUCGUGAGAUGUUGGGUUAAGUCCCGCAACGAGCGCAACCCUUAAGCUUAGUUGCCAUCAUUAAGUUGGGCACUCUAAGUUGACUGCCGGUGACAAACCGGAGGAAGGUGGGGAUGACGUCAAAUCAUCAUGCCCCUUAUGAUUUGGGCUACACACGUGCUACAAUGGACAAUACAAAGGGCAGCGAAACCGUGAGGUCAAGCAAAUCCCAUAAAGUUGUUCUCAGUUCGGAUUGUAGUCUGCAACUCGACUACAUGAAGCUGGAAUCGCUAGUAAUCGUAGAUCAGCAUGCUACGGUGAAUACGUUCCCGGGUCU
rnacentral:rRNA from 1 species